AAAUAAGUAAGCUAAAUUAAGCUCUUAGGUUCAUACCCUAAAUAUAGAAAUUUUUAUUUAUUUUCUCUUAUUUA
rnacentral:tRNA from 1 species